rnacentral:rRNA from 1 species
AGAAUCAACGCUGGCGGCGUGCCUCAGACAUGCAAGUCGAACGAUUAAAGCUCUCUUCGGAGAGUGUAUAGAGUGGCGCACGGGUGAGUAACACGUAAGUAAUCUACCUCUGAGUGGGGAAUAACGUCCGGAAACGGACGCUAAUACCGCAUAAUGCAGCGGCACCGCAAGGUGACAGUUGUUAAAGAUUUAUCGCUUAGAGAGGAGCUUGCGGCAGAUUAGCUAGUUGGUAAGGUAAUGGCUUACCAAGGCUACGAUCUGUAACCGGUCUUAGAGGACGGUCGGUCACACUGACACUGAAUAACGGUCAGACUCCUACGGGAGGCAGCAGUCGGGAAUUUUGGCAAUGGGCGAAAGCCUGACCCAGCAACGCCGACGUGAACGGUAUGGAAGUAGUUUCGGUAAUUAGUAAACUUACGAAAAGAAUAAGGUAAAGAAAGUAAAUAGGAACGGUUAACUAAGUUUAUAAGGUCCGACUUAACUACGU